rnacentral:rRNA from 1 species
GACGAACGCUGGCGGCGUGCUUAACACAUGCAAGUCGAACGGAAAGGCCCUGCUUUUGUGGGGUGCUCGCGUGGCGAACGGGUGAGUAACACGUGAGUAACCUGCCCUUGACCUUGGGAUAACUUCAGGAAACUGGGGCUAAUACCGGAUAGGAGCUCCUGCUGCAUGGUGGGGGUUGGAAAGUUUCGGCGGUCGGGGAUGGACUCGCGGCUUAUCAGCUUGUUGGUGGGGUAGUGGCUUACCAAGGCUUUGAUGGGUAGCCGGCCUGCGAGGGUGACCGGCCACAUUGGGACUGUGGUACGGCCCAGACUCCUACGGGAGGCAGCAGUGGGGAAUAUUGCACAAUGGGCGGAAGCCUGAUGCAGCAACGCCGCGUGCGGGAUGACGGCCUUCGGGUUGUAAACCGCUUUCGCCUGUGACGAAGCGUGAGUGACGGUAAUGGGUAAAGAAGCACCGGCUAACUACGUG